AUGCACAAUGGGUCAGUGUUUCUGGCUAUUAACCAGAAGGAUGGUGGUUCGAGUCCACCCAGGGAUG